AACCAUUGGAAACGAUGGCUAAUACCGCAUAAUAGCUUCGGCUCAAAGAGGGGGACCUUCGGGCCUCUCGCGUCAGGAUAUGCCCAGGUGGGAUUAGCUAGUUGGUGAGGUAAUGGCUCACCAAGGCGACGAUCCCUAGCUGGUCUGAGAGGAUGAUCAGCCACACUGGAACUGAGACACGGUCCAGACUCCUACGGGAGGCAGCAGUGGGGAAUAUUGCACAAUGGGCGCAAGCCUGAUGCAGCCAUGCCGCGUGUAUGAAGAAGGCCUUCGGGUUGUAAAGUACUUUCAGCAGUGAGGAAGGUGGUGUCGUUUUUUUCGGCAUCAUUUGACGUUAGCUGCAGAAGAAGCACCGGCUAACUCCGUGCCAGCAGCCGCGGUAAUACGGAGGGUGCGAGCGUUAAUCGGAAUUACUGGGCGUAAAGCGCAUGCAGGUGGUUUGUUAAGUCAGAUGUGAAAGCCCGGGGCUCAACCUCGGAAUUGCAUUUGAAACUGGCAGACUAGAGUACUGUAGAGGGGGGUAGAAUUUCAGGUGUAGCGGUGAAAUGCGUAGAGAUCUGAAGGAAUACCGGUGGCGAAGGCGGCCCCCUGGACAGAUACUGACACUCAGAUGCGAUAGCGUGGGGAGCAAACAGGAUUAGAUACCCUGGUAGUCCACGCCGUAAACGAUGUCUACUUGGAGGUUGUGGCCUUGAGCCGUGGCUUUCGGAGCUAACGCGUUAAGUAGACCGCCUGGGGAGUACGGUCGCAAGAUUAAAACUCAAAUGAAUUGACGGGGGCCCGCACAAGCGGUGGAGCAUGUGGUUUAAUUCGAUGCAACGCGAAGAACCUUACCUACUCUUGACAUCCUCAGAAGAGACUGGAGACAGUCUUGUGCCUUCGGGAACUGAGAGACAGGUGCUGCAUGGCUGUCGUCAGCUCGUGUUGUGAAAUGUUGGGUUAAGUCCCGCAACGAGCGCAACCCUUAUCCUUGUUUGCCAGCGAGUCAUGUCGGGAACUCCAGGGAGACUGCCGGUGAUAAACCGGAGGAAGGUGGGGACGACGUCAAGUCAUCAUGGCCCUUACGAGUAGGGCUACACACGUGCUACAAUGGCGCAUACAGAGGGCAGCCAACUUGCGAAAGUGAGCGAAUCCCAAAAAGUGCGUCGUAGUCCGGAUUGGAGUCUGCAACUCGACUCCAUGAAGUCGGAAUCGCUAGUAAUCGUAGAUCAGAAUGCUACGGUGAAUACGUUCCCGG
rnacentral:rRNA from 1 species